AAUAAAAUAACAUUCUAAAAAGAAAAAGCUUUAAAAAACCUAAGAGUUGCAGAGAAGAUCGUUGGCUUCCAUAAUCUUUGACUCCGAUUUCGACCCUUCCCGUGGAACUCUUGCUCCGGCCUCUUCGAGACAGUCGUGACCCGCCGACGGUGGAGUCACGAUCAUUAUAGGAGCGGUCAGCGCCAGAGAAGACGCCGACGAUGUGCGAUGAAGAAGAGGAAAAAAACAUACAAAAUUGAAUUUCUCUGCAAUUUAAUGGGUAGCCUCUGGAAUUGGUCUUGAGCAGAAUCCCAUGUUGAAUAUUUGAGAAUCUUUGGAGCGAAUGGAUGGGUUUAAUGGAACUCUUUGGACAUUGAUGUUCAUGGAUGGCCAUGAAACCUGUGAGGUGCUUGAGAAAUCCAUGGAGCAAUCAAGAAGGAUCUGCCUUCGAUUUUCAAUUGGCAUCUCCUCUUUGCCGACUCCAACGACGGUGAUUCUUCCAGGGCCAGAGGGCUGCCGCGUCGUCUUCCUCUCUGCAGCCACCAUUGAAGAAGUUCUUCGAAGAACGGGAUACACCAAGGUACUGGCUUGGAAGAGACCCAGGAAGCCCCUUUGAAGGUGAGAUUAUGAAGGCGAGGCCACGGCCGCCGAGCUUGGGGGUACUCUAGGACUAUAGUGAAAGCAAAAGCGGUGGAAAAGGAAGGGUGGCUGGGGGAGGGCCUAUGGAGGUCAACGAAGGGUGGUUGGGGGAGGGACAGUUGCUGGGAUAUUUUGUUUUAUGUUUUUUGGUUUUGAAAAAAUAUAUAUUAAAAAAAAUUAUUCUUUAAUUUUCUUUCUGAAAUGCCCUUCAUGUGGACUAGUUGUAUUAGGCUGUCAGGAUCUGUGGUGGGGCCCACAGUUGUCACAUCAGCAUUUAACGUUUGACUAGACGGUCAAUCUAACAGACAGGGUGAAUUGGUCAUAUUUGGAUAUGUUGGGUAUGAAAUUGAUGAAAUUGAAAUCUCGGGGCCCAUUUCGAUACUGA